UGCAGCCUUGUCAAAUUCAGUGUGUUCUUUUAAGUGGACUUCACUGGCCAAAAUGGCUGCCACAAAAAAAAAAACUGUAGUUCAUAGGCCCCACCUCCAUAUUUCCUUGGCAGUGGGGAUAAUAGUUAAAUAUGUACAGAC
ensembl:snoRNA